rnacentral:rRNA from 1 species
GAUGAACGCUGGCGGCGUGCCUAAUACAUGCAAGUCGAGCGAACGGACGAGACGCUUGCUUCUCUGCUGUUACCGGCGGACGGGUGAGUAACACGUGGCUAACCUACCUAUAAGACUGGGAUAACUUCGGGAAACCGGAGCUAAUACCGGAUAAUAUUUUGAACCGCAUGGUUCAACAGUGAAAGGCGGUCUUGCUGUCACUUAUAGAUGGAUCCGCGCUGGAUUAGCUAGUUGGUAAGGUAACGGCUUACCAAGGCAACGAUGCAUAGCCGACCUGAGAGGAUGAUCGGCCACACUGGAACUGAGACACGGUCCAGACUCCUACGGGAGGCAGCAGUAGGGAAUAUUCCGCAAAGGGCGAAAGCCUGACGGAGCAACGCCGCGUGAGUGAUGAAGGUCUUCGGAUCGUAAAACUCUGUUAUUAGGGAAGAACAUAUGUGUAAGUAACUGUGCACAUCUUGACGGUACCUAAUCAGAAAGCCACGGCUAACUACGUG